UACGGGGGGGGCAAGCGUUGUUCGGAAUUACUGGGCGUAAAGGGCUCGUAGGCGGCCAACUAAGUCCGACGUGAAAUCCCCAGGCUCAACCUGGGAACUGCAUCCGAAACUGCCUUGCUAGAGUAUGGGAGAGGGAAGUGGAAUUUCCGGUGUAGCGGUGAAAUGCGUAGAUAUCGGAAGGAACAUCAGUGGCGAAGGCGACUUCCUGGACCAAUACUGACGCUCAGGUGCGAAAGCGUGGGGAGCAAACAGG
rnacentral:rRNA from 1 species